CACACAGUUAGCUAAGUAUGAGACUAGCAAGGCAAUUUGUGACUUCUGCCAAUUCAGUCUUUGUAAAACAAUACUAGUUAGAAACUCGUAUUCGCGCCCUUCUACAAAAGAAUAUGAGUGCUCAAGAGUUUUAUUCGACCAUGAAAGAUCGUGGGACGGCACUCGCAGAAUCUAUAGAUUUAUGGGAUUUUGUUCCUUAUAUCUCCUGAAGAGAAGAACUAGUGAUACUUUAAGGGGCUUCGUGGGGCAAUUUUGCAUCAUAAUUCUUUCUUUUGUCGAUUCUGUGGUAAGUAAACUAUUGGCUGAGGAGAUAUGCCUCAAAUCUCACGCAGACAACUGAAGUGCUCCACCAUCUACUCAAUUUGUCUUGGCUAUGUAAUCAAUCCGUCCUCUUGUAUGCCACAGCUAAAACAAUGACAAUCACAAUUGCAAGAACAAGUAAAGAACCAAAAAGAUGAUAAUGAGAUGAUGUGAGAAGUUGUAAAUGAAAGGGAAAUUUCAAUCCAAUGAAACAGAACUGCCAACAGAACAUAUACCUAGGCGCUAUCUUGAUACAAGAUGGAUGAAGUUCAAGAAGUGGCUCAUUUCUGCAUUCAAGAACUUGCACAAUCAGUAAAGAAGAUGAUGACGAUAGUUAUAAAGCACAAAGCAUAGCCAGAAAAUAAGACCUCCGCACCAACAUGAUCUCAAAUUAGUGAACUCUAUCUUGUCCUAUCCAAUAAUGCAUGAACGAACUGGAAAAUAGUCUGUGUAAGUGCCCUUUAAUUCUAAACGUGACUUGCAAAACAAAUUUAAAACUGAAAUCACAUAAAAAUUAGUUGGCUCCAACCAAGAGACUUGGAACGCAGCUAUAAACAUGUCAACAUGCAACCUCGUAUGAAGUCUAGAUGCUAAAAAAAAUGACAAAGCCAUUCCAGUAGCUGAUUUGCCUUGAACCUUUACUUGGUCGGAAUUAUAAAGCUUACCUUAUUUAUUAUAUUAAAAUGGAAACAGGCCUUUUCAGCUUGCAACAUGCUCAUAACUAAAUUAAAGCGUAGCAGACCAUUUGACUCUUUUGUUAUUCAUCCUCGCAUUGCUUUGCUAUAAUACAUGCAUAUCCUCUUGCAAUUCACAGAUAUACAUAACAAUAACCAGCAUGGUAGAUCAUGUGCAUAGUUGUGAUAAGGACAAGUCAAAUAUAUAAAAACUUUCCAGGUGUAAGAAAGCCUACCACAUAGAUUUUAUAUAUUUGGUCCAAUUUCAUUAACCUUUCAACACAAAUGUCGUAAUAGAAAAAAAUCCAAGAACAGAGUAAACAGAAGAGAACAUCUUGAUGAAGUGUGCGACAUGACUUGCACAGACCUUUCGAAGAUGUGCAAUUGGCAUGAACUGAACUGAAACUGCGUGCACACAUCAACUAAGUAUAACUAGUGAAAGUUGAAAAUGAAAUCAAACAAUUUCUCUUAUCUCACCUGAUUAUAAUUUUUGUUUACUGAUAGAUAGUGACAAAAUUUAAAAACCAAAUGGCAGGACUAGUCUCUUUCUCACCUUUGUUUUGACCUUUUCAAUUUUUGCCAAUAUCUUGUUUCAAUCAAUUCCGACUUCAAAUUUUCCUCCACAAAUACUAUACCAGAAAAGAUUUGCUUCUGUGUCAUUAUUUUCAUUUCUUCCUCACCUAGGCAUCUAAGUUGAAUGAGUUCAUUGUACCUAUAUUAGAACUCUUUGAAAUUCUACUGUAACUUAAAAAUCUAAAACCGCAAUAUUUAGCCAUAUUCAGGAAAAAUUAAUGUACAUCAUUGGCCCAUGUAGCAGAAUUUUUCCAUGCCCAGCCCAACUCAAGAAACUCAUCAUCACAGCCUACGGAGAGGACAGAAAAGGCAAAAACAGAAUUGUUAGGAAUCCAAUCACAGAGCAUGUUUGGCUUAAGCUUAACUAACCUUACUUUAUAAGCCAUUCUUUCUGCCGGAAAACACAGUCACAUACUGGGAAAUGAUUUCAAUUAACAACUGCUGGCAUAAAAAGGGUUGUUGAUAUGUUCUUUGUGAAUCAAUGGCCAAAAGAGAGAACAGCCACCCUUCAGAAAUAUGCAAUCCCACCUUUGCCUUAUUCUUGAGUUUGAAUUUUAGCAAGCAAGACUUGGAUCCAUUUGGCAUGACUUUCGAAAAGUCAAACCGAACUUUUAAGAACAAAACUGCUUUUGGACUCUUAUGGUAAAUUUUAUAAAAGUGUUUCUAGUUGGAAAAACUUUUAGAGAAAACUAACCUAAUGUGAUUUCCUCUGAAAG
rnacentral:lncRNA from 1 species